rnacentral:lncRNA from 1 species
GGGAAGCAUGACCACACCACGGUCCUUCGUUUUUCCUUUUUUUCCCUUAAACAUCUUUUAUUUCUGUUAAUAACACAUCGUACUACGUACCUAAUAUUAUCGUCGAGACGAAGAAUUAAUGGUUUUCGCUGAUAUUGCAAUAAAUUCGAUAUAUUCUGCAUAAAAUUGAACUCAAUUCGUUUCUCCGGUCCACAAAAAGAAGUGCAGGCUGCAAUUUUUCCAACAUAAUGCGCAUAAGGAAUUAAGUUUGAAAAUGUGAUAUUGGUGAUCGCAGUCGAAAGGUAUAAAGGAGCAUCCCAUUGCAAAUUGAUUUUCGACGAUGUCAAUGUCAUUCUGAAAUUCCUUAUUUCCGAUGGCGCUAUUGUAAACAGAUAUCAUCAGAGAUGAUGGAAUCGAUCGAGGAAUUGAAUUUGAAAAACUGGGCUACCUUCAUGAAGAGUUCGAACUUCUUGUGAAAAUAAUGAUAUCAUUGCUCCUUUGCUGAUUGUAACUUUAUAGAAGGUAUAAGAUUCUCAAACACGAAGUCGUACCAGUUACUUGGACAAGGAUACAAGGAUCCCUAAAAAUCGAUAAAACAUUUUCAAACGGCAU